UACGAAGGGGGCUAGCGUUGCUCGGAAUCACUGGGCGUAAAGCGCACGUAGGCGGUUUUCUAAGUCAGGGGUGAAAUCCUGGAGCUCAACUCCAGAACUGCCUUUGAUACUGGAGAGCUUGAGUCCGGAAGAGGUGAGUGGAACUCCGAGUGUAGAGGUGAAAUUCGUAGAUAUUCGCAAGAACACCAGUGGCGAAGGCGGCUCACUGGUCCGGUUCUGACGCUGAGGCGCGAAAGCGUGGGGAGCAAACAGG
rnacentral:rRNA from 1 species